ACUCAAAGGAAUUGACGGGGACCCGCACAAGCAGCGGAGCGUGUGGUUUAAUUCGAUGCAACGCGAAGAACCUUACCAGGGUUUGACAUACAUGUGACAUCCUUCGAAAGAAGGCUCCCUUCGGGACACAUGAACAGGUGCUGCAUGGCUGUCGUCAGCUCGUGUCGUGAGAUGUUGGGUUCAGUCCCGCAACGAGCGUAACCCCUAUCGGUAGUUACAUUUUCUAUCGAGACCGCCACUCUAGGGUGGAGGAAGGAGGGGAUGACGUCAAGUCAGCACGGCCCUUACAUCCUGGGCCUCACACACGCUACAAUGGCCAGAACAAUGGGCUGCCAACCCGCGAGGGGGAGCCAAUCCCAACAAAACUGGUCCCAGUUCAGAUUGCAGGCUGCAACCCGCCUGCAUGAAGAUGGAGUUGCUAGUAACCGUAGGUCAGCAUACUACGGUGAAUACGUUCCCGGGUCUUGCACACACCGCCCGU
rnacentral:rRNA from 1 species